rnacentral:rRNA from 1 species
AUGAACGCUGGCGGCGUGCCUAAUACAUGCAAGUCGAGCGAACAGACGAGGAGCUUGCUCCUCUGACGUUAGCGGCGGACGGGUGAGUAACACGUGGAUAACCUACCUAUAAGACUGGGAUAACUUCGGGAAACCGGAGCUAAUACCGGAUAAUAUAUUGAACCGCAUGGUUCAAUAGUGAAAGACGGUUUUGCUGUCACUUAUAGAUGGAUCCGCGCCGCAUUAGCUAGUUGGUAAGGUAACGGCUUACCAGGGCAACGAUGCGUAGCCGACCUGAGAGGGUGAUCGGCCACACUGGAACUGAGACACGGUCCAGACUCCUACGGGAGGCAGCAGUAGGGAAUCUUCCGCAAUGGGCGAAAGCCUGACGGAGCAACGCCGCGUGAGUGGUGAAGGUCUUCGGAUCGUAAAACUCUGUUAUUAGGGAAGAACAAAUGUGUAAGUAACUAUGCACGUCUUGACGGUACCUAAUCAGAAAGCCACGGCUAACUACGUG